GACGAACGCUGGCGGCGUGCUUAACACAUGCAAGUCGAACGGAAAGGCCCUGCUUUUGUGGGGUGCUCGAGUGGCGAACGGGUGAGUAACACGUGAGUAACCUGCCCUUGACUUUGGGAUAACUUCAGGAAACUGGGGCUAAUACCGGAUAGGAGCUCCUGCUGCAUGGUGGGGGUUGGAAAGUUUCGGCGGUUGGGGAUGGACUCGCGGCUUAUCAGCUUGUUGGUGGGGUAGUGGCUUACCAAGGCUUUGACGGGUAGCCGGCCUGAGAGGGUGACCGGCCACAUUGGGACUGGGAUACGGCCCAGACGCCUACGGGAGGCAGCAGUGGGGAAUAUUGCACAAUGGGCGGAAGCAGGAUGCAGGAACGCCGGGUGGGGGAUGACGGCUUUCGGGUUGUAAACCGCUUUCGCCUGUGACGAAGCGUGAGUGACGGUAAUGGGUAAAGAAGCACCGGCUAACUACGU
rnacentral:rRNA from 1 species